AGGGUUUGAUCCUGGCUCAGAUUGAACGCUGGCGGAAUGCUUUACACAUGCAAGUCGAACGGCAGCACGGACUUCGGUCUGGUGGCGAGUGGCGAACGGGUGAGUAAUGUAUCGGAACGUAUCCAGUAAUGGGGGAUAACUAAUCGAAAGGUUGGCUAAUACCGCAUACGCCCUACGGGGGAAAGCAGGGGAUCUUCGGACCUUGCGUUAAUGGAGCGGCCGAUAUCUGAUUAGCUAGUUGGUGAGGUAAGAGCUCACCAAGGCGACGAUCAGUAGCUGGUCUGAGAGGACGACCAGCCACACUGGAACUGAGACACGGUCCAGACUCCUACGGGAGGCAGCAGUGGGGAAUUUUGGACAAUGGGCGCAAGCCUGAUCCAGCCAUUCCGCGUGAGUGAAGAAGGCCUUCGGGUUGUAAAGCUCUUUCGCAAGGGAAGAAACGAUGCAGACGAAUAAUCUGUGUUAAUGACGGUACCUUGAUAAGAAGCACCGGCUAACUACGUGCCAGCAGCCGCGGUAAUACGUAGGGUGCAAGCGUUAAUCGGAAUUACUGGGCGUAAAGCGUGCGCA
rnacentral:rRNA from 1 species